rnacentral:rRNA from 1 species
GACGAACGCUGGCGGCGUGCCUAACACAUGCAAGUUGAGCGACGAACCAGGGCUUGCCCUGGGGCAAAGCAGCGAACGGGUGAGUAACACGUGGGUAACCUACCCCGAUAACCGGGACAACCCGAGGAAACUCGGGCUAAUACCGGAUGUGCUCACUGGACUUCGGUUCAGUGCGUAAAGGAAGCUUCGGCCUCCGUAUCGGGAGGGGCCCGCGGCCCAUUAGUUUGUUGGUGAGGUAACGGCUCACCAAGACCGCGAUGGGUAGCUGGUCUGAGAGGACGAUCAGCGACACUGGGACUGAGACACGGCCCAGACUCCUACGGGAGGCAGCAGUGGGGAAUCUUGCGCAAUGCGCGAAAGCGUGACGCAGCAACGCCGCGUGGGGGAAGAAGGCCUUCGGGUUGUAAACCCCUUUCAGGAGGGACGAAGGUUCGGCGGUGAAUAGCCGUCCGGACUGACGGUACCUCCACAAGAAGCCCCGGCUAACUACGUG